CCGUUAUAACCGGCGAUACCCGAAUGGGGAAACCCAGUGUGACUCGUCACACUAUCAUUAACUGAAUCCAUAGGUUAAUGAGGCGAACCGGGGGAACUGAAACAUCUAAGUACCCCGAGGAAAAGAAAUCAACCGAGAUUCCCCCAGUAGCGGCGAGCGAACGGGGAGGAGCCCAGAGCCUGAAUCAGCAUGUGUGUUAGUGGAAGCGUCUGGAAAGGCGCGCGAUACAGGGUGACAGCCCCGUACACAAAAGCGCAUGUGCUGUGAGCUCGAUGAGUAGGGCGGGACACGUGGUAUCCUGUCUGAAUAUGGGGGGACCAUCCUCCAAGGCUAAAUACUCCUGACUGACCGAUAGUGAACCAGUACCGUGAGGGAAAGGCGAAAAGAACCCCGGCGAGGGGAGUGAAAAAGAACCUGAAACCGUGUACGUACAAGCAGUGGGAGCACAGGUUUACC
rnacentral:rRNA from 1 species